AAUCCGGGAGUAGGAGACACAGAAUCGAAUCUCUUCUCCCUCCCCCCUCCUGGUUACAAAACACUGAAAUAUAUAAUUUAGUGGAACUUUCCUUGAGUGAGAUUUUUUUGAUCUUCAGCUACAUUAUUUCGCUUUGUGAAGAACCUUAUCAUCAAAUGCAAUGGCUAGCAAUGUUACCAACAAGACAGACCCUCACUCCAUGAACUCCCUUGUAUUCUUGGGAAUCUCAACACUCUUGUGGUGAAGAAGUCUGAUGUGGAAGCAAUUCUCUCCAAGUAUGGCAAAACUGUGGGCUGCUCUGUUCACAAGGGCUUUGCCUUUGUUCAUUAUGUUAAUGAGAGAAAUGCCCGGGCUGCUGCAGCAGGAGAGGACGGCAGAAUGAUUGCUGGCCAAGUUUUAGAUAUUAAUCUGGCUGCAGAGCCAAAAGUGAAUCGAGGAAAAGCAGGUGUGAAACGAUCUGCAGCGGAGAUGUACGGCUCCUCUUUUGACUUGGACUAUGACUUUCAACGGGAUUAUUAUGACAGGAUGUACAUUUAUCCAGCCCGUGUUCCUCCUCCUCCUCCUAUUGCUUGGGCUGUGGUGCCCUCAAAACGCCAGCGUGUAUCAGGAAACACCUCACGAAGGGGGAAAAGUGGCUUCAAUUCUAAGAGUGGACAGUGAGGUUCUUCUUCCAAGUCUGGAAAGUUGAAAGGAGAUGACCUUCAGGCCAUUAAGAAGGAGUUGACCCAGCUAAAACAAAAAGUGGAUUCUUUACUGGAAAACCUGGAAAAAAUUGAAAAGGAGCAGAGCAAACAAGCAGCAGUAGAGCUGAAGAAUGAUAAAUCAGAAGAGGAGCAGAGCAGCAGCUCCCUGAAGAAAGAUGAGACUAAUGUGAAGAUGGAGUCUGAGGGGGGUGCUGAUGACUCUGCUGAGGAGGGGACCUCCUGGAUGAUGAUGAUAAUGAAGAUCGGGGAGAAGACCAGCUGGAGCUGAUCAAGGAUGAUGAAAAAGAGCCUGAGGAAGGAGAGGAUGACAGAGACAGCGCCAAUGGCGAGGAUGACUCUUAAGCACAUAGUGGGGUUUAGAAAUCUUAUCCCAUUAUUUCUUUACCUAGGCGCUUGUGUAGAUCAAAAUUCUCACCAGAUCCUCUCCCCCUAGUAUCUUCACCACAUGCUCACUGUUGUCCCCAGCCUUGUCCUUCCCAUGUUCAUUAAUUCAUAUUGCCCUGCGCCUAGUCCCAUUUUCACUUCCUUUGAUGCUCCUAAUAGUUCUGUUAAGUCUUACCCUGUAAUGUUUUGCUUUUAAUUUUGAUACCUCUCUAUGACUUAACAAUAAAAAGGAUGUAUGGUUUUUAUCAGCUGUCUCCAAAAUAAUCUCUAGUCUUGCAGGGAGUACAGUUCUUUCCAUUCAUACAUGAGUUCAGUAGUUGCUUCCCUAACUGCAAAGGCAAUCUCAUUUAGUUCAAGUAGCACCUAAGAGCAGCUUUGAGUUAGAAGUAUGUGUUAUACCCCAUGUAAGAGUGCUAAUGUGGGGCAAUUCAACACAAAUGUAACAAUGUAUUUUUGUGAAUGAGAGUUGGCAUGUCAAAUGCAUCCUCUAGAAAAAUAAUUAGUGUAAUAGUCUUAAGAUUUGUUUUCUAAAGUUGAUACUGUGGGUUAUUUUUGUGAACAGCCUGAUGUUUGGGACCUUUUUUCCUCAAAAUAAGUCCUUAUUAAACCAGGAAUUUGGAGAAAAAAA